GUUAGAGCAGGUAGCCUCGUGGUUAGAGCAGGUAGCCUAGUGAUUAGAGCAGGUAGCCUAGUGGUUAGAGCAGGGAGCCUAGUGGUUAGAGGAGGUAGCCUAGUGGUUAGAGCAGGUAGCCUAGUGGUUAGAGCAGGUAGCCUAGUGGUUAGAGCAGGUAGCCUAGUGGUUAGAGGAGGUAGCCUAGUGGUUAGAGCAGGUAGCCUAGUGGUUAGAGCAGGUAGCCUAGUGGUUAGAGCAGGUAGCCUAGUGGUUAGAGGAGGUAGCCUAGUGGUUAGAGCAGGUAGCCUAGUGGUUAGAGCAGGUAGCCUAGUGGUUAGAGCAGGUAGCCUAGUGGUUAGAGCAGGUAGCCUAGUGGUUAGAGGAGGUAGCCUAGUGGUUAGAGCAGGUAGCCUAGUGGUUAGAGCAGGUAGCCUAGUGGUUAGAGCAGGUAGCCUAGUGGUUAGAGCAGGGAGCCUAGUGGUUAGAGCAGGUAGUCUAGUGGUUAGAGCAGGUAGUCUAGUGGUUAGAGCAGGUAGCCUCGUGGUUAGAGCAGGUAGCCUAGUGGUUAGAGCAGGUAGCCUAGUGGUUAGAGCAGGUAGCCUAGUGGU